rnacentral:rRNA from 1 species
UACGUAGGGGGCAAGCGUUGUCCGGAAUCAUUGGGAGUAAAGAGCGUGUAGGCGGCCAGAUAAGUCCGCUGUGAAAUCUCGAGGCUCAACUUCGAGCUGUCGGUGGAAACUGUCUGGCUAGAGUCCGGAAGAGGAGAAUGGAAUUCCUGGUGUAGCGGUGAAAUGCGCAGAUAUCAGGAAGAACACCCGUGGCGAAGGCGGUUCUCUGGGACGGUACUGACGCUGAGACGCGAAAGCGUGGGGAGCGAACAGG